rnacentral:lncRNA from 1 species
UAUGAUAAAUUUAUUGAAAGUUUCAAAUUUUACAUGUAUUCCGGUGCGGGAGUUGGGCAAGUCCCUGGCCGCCGUUGUUCCUUGCCCGCCGAGAGAGGACCAUGGCCCCAAUCGAGGGCCGCUUCCCCGCCGCCACUUCAGAGAAACUGGGAAGAAAAAGGGCCUCUAAAAUUGUGAAGUUCCUGGUUACUUUUUUCUUGAUUUCUGACGACAUAUUUAAGAAAGUUCUCUCCACAUUGAUGGAUUCCUUAGCAUAAUUCGCAAGAAAAUUCAUUCCUAAUGAUUCUACAAAUGCCUAUUAAUGAUAGCUAUUUUAGUAACAGCAAUAUGAAAUUAUGAAUAAGGUAUGAAAAAUAUAUCCCACUGUUUAAGAUUUCUCAUUUCCUUUUCAGCCCAGGUUGUAACCAUUUUCCGGGGAUUAUGCUUGCACUAACCAUAUCUAAAACGAUAAUCUCCUUGAACAUAUCUGUCUCUAUCCCUGCAAUAAACAAAUGUCAUUCAAACCAUUUUAGAACAAUUAUUUUAACAAGUGUGAAAAGGAUAGAGCAUAUCACAUGACACAGUACUGCAAUAUUUUUCAACAAGAAUCUAUAGGGAGCAACAAACAAGUGUAAAGAAUCGAAUCUUACGUAAAGACAAGGACAGAGGUUCUAUAGACUUUGAUUGCUAGCUCCUGGCCAUCUAUUUUUGUUGCAUGAUAGACAUUUGCCUGCACAGGAAGUGGAUUAAUGUUGAAUAUAGAAGUAGAUAUACCCAAUAGAUAAAACAGAUAACUGACACCAAGCAGAUAGAGCAGCAUUCUUUUUGUUAUAUUUACCGAACAAGGAGCUGUAUUUCAUUUAUUAAUUUACCGAACAAGGAGUUGUAUUUCAUUUAUUAAGGGAAUGGAAUGGUACAUUAGGAUUAUGCAAGAUUGCAAGUGCAAGCAGACAUGUUCGGCUCCAAAAGGCAUAGGACAGAAUAAAUAUCACUUAGCAGGGAGCAUGUAAAGACAUGUUCCACCGUAGCACGAUCGGCCUUCUCAUGGUUCCUUAUUUUGCCAAUUGAUGUAUCCCUUAUGCUGUCCCUGAUUGCAGUCGCUACAUAAUUUGACAUCCCCACGUUCAUUUGACCUUCCCACUCCUUAUAAAUAAUACGAAAUCCAUCACAUAAGAUAUUGAGCACAACGUACCAUAACACGAGACUGUAGAUAGAGAGUGGAUUUUCAGCACCCGGGUGCCUAGGCACCCUCUAUGAACUUGGGGAGUACAUUGGCUCAAUCCAAGUUAGCAGAUGCAAAUUAGGCGCACAUUUAUAAUAUCAGAUAACACUCAUUAAUAUUAAGCAAUUCAUCUCUGCACAGUUAACGACUACAAUUUUUGUAUGAUUACCAAUGGCAGGAAAUGAUACAAAAGGACGAACCACCGUGGUGACGACUUGUAAGUUCGCACCACCUAGAAAUGGCUCGUUGGAAAGAAUGCAUGCAAAGUCGAGGCAGAGUGACUACCGUAUCACUGUAGGGGGGCUGCUGCGAGAAGCACACUUCUGGGCGGAGCUUCGUUGCCGAUGAGCUCCGAUCUGCUAGGCCGCCGACAAUAUGUCCAGGAGCCAUCAGAGAGAUGGAACAACACCUUCACUGUGUGUGCUCACCUACUUGACUCCGGAUCUCGGUCGAUGCCACUACUGUGUUUCCUCUCCAUACUUGUGAAUCGAUUGCUCCAGAGCACUCAUUUCAGCAUUUAUAUAAACUUGGAUCAAGCUGUGCUGAAGAAACAGUUUUCAAUUAAGUAGGUUAUAAUUGAUGCAGAAAUAAACACCGGCAGGUAGCUAAGAUGAUUACAAAAAUGUUGGAAUUCAUUUGAGCAGCUACUGAACCCAACAACCUGCUCCAUAUAUAUGGUAAAAUGGCAUCCUAUACCCUGGAUGGUAUGGCAUGCUAACUUCGACAAGAAGAUGUCCAGACUCCAGAGCCACCAUGCCACUCUCCUUCGUCUCCCCCUCCUCCCUCCCUCACUCCCCAACAGAUCCCCUCUUCCCACUUCCUCCUCGCCCCAGCAAUGCCGCCUAGCUCGUAGCCGGCGCGCCCGUCCGUACAUCCGUCGGUUGCAAUGGCGUCCGCGGCGGCGCUGCUGUUGGCGGCCGCCGUAGUCGUCUUGCUGGCAUGCCUGGCACUCGCGGACCCGCCGGCGAGGGAGCAGUCGGCGCUGCUGGCGAUCCUCGCCGCUACCCCGCACGAGCGCAAGCUCGGGUGGAGCGCCUCCACGCCGGCCUGCGCUUGGGUCGGGGUCACCUGCGACGCCGCCAACUCCACCGUCAUCAAGCUGCGCCUACCCGGCGUCGGGCUCGUCGGCCCCAUCCCGCCGUCCACCAUCGGCCACCUCACCAACCUCCAUGUGCUGUCCCUCCGGGCCAACCGCGUUUCCGGGGCCAUCCCUGAAGACAUCCUCUGGCUCUCCGCUCCGUCUUCCUGCAGGACAACGCCAUCUCCGGUACCAUCUCGCCGCGGGUCUCCGGGCUCGCGGCGCUGGAGCGGCUCAUGCUCUCCCACAACAACCUAUCGCGCCCCAUACCCUUCACGCUCGGAGGGCUCGCCGCACUCCGCGCGCUCAGGCUCGACGGCAACCGCCAGUCCGGCAAGAUCCCCAGCAUCGCCAACCCGAGGCUCAACACAACCGGCUCAACGGCUCCAUCCCGCGGGCGCUCGCGCGGUUCCCCGUCGACGCCUUCGCCGGAAACCUCCAGCUGUGCGGCACACCGCUGCCCCCCUGCAGCCCCUUCUUCCUGUCCCCGUGGCUGGCGCCAGGGAUGGGCCCCAGCAAUGGCAAGCCACCGAAGAAGAAGAAAAAGAAGAAGGUAUCCACCGCAGCGAUCGUCGGCAUCAUUGUGGCCGUCGUGGUCGUCGCGCUGCUGCUUCUGGCCAUCCUGUUCUACUGCAAGAGGUCUCGGCGAGGCGUGCGCGCGGACGGCGCAAAAGAUUGUUGCCUCUCCUUAAUGGAUCCAAUAAAUAGAUAUCCAGGUUUGGGUACUUCUAUAAAAAAUAUUAUAGUUCCAAUAAAUUGGUAUCUAGGUUUGACUACUUCUAUAAGAAGAUUACUUCAUCUAGCAUGUAGACACAUGAAGAAACAUAUUCCUUGUAAUCUGUAGACACUUAACUUGAAGCAGGCCAGCAGCUAAAAAACUGAUAUUAAGCAUGCAUCCUGGGUUCAGGGGCUCAAUCUUUCCAAGAAAUUACGAAAAUCAUCAUGCUUCAGUUGCCUGUUUCCUGGCAUACAAUGUGUUCACUCAUUCCAACAAAUACUGGAGGACUAAUAGACAUAGCCCUGUGGUAGUUGAAGUGAUUUCUGAAAAAGAAAAUCGUAAUAUUACAAAUUGCAAGCUGUCCAAAGAGAAAGAUAUGUUUAAUUUGAUGAUUUGGCACAGAGUUAUAACACUGGAGAAACUGGAUUUACAAAGUCAACUGGGAUUAAAUAAUAAAGUAAAAUCGGGUUAUAGAUUCAGUUAUUUAUGUUUUGAAAAAUCUACAUUAUGUAAAACUCUAAAGUAACUACUGAAUUGGUAAAUUAGAAAUGGGAGGAUUGUGGCACAGUAAUCAAAUUGUCACGAUGGAGCUCAGACUUGUAAGGCAUUAUAGAUGGCAACACUAUCCAUGUGUGACGCCAUGACAUAACUUAAUGUACCUUUCUUAGAAAUUAUAGUUUUGUGUUAUGUCCUACAAGCAUGCACAAAUACAUCUCCUGGAUGAACCAAGUCGCAUGAUACACAAGCAACCAUAUUAUUGUGCAUCCUCCAGACGGUUAGGCGUCAUGGUCUAGAGCAUUCCAACAGUCAAUUGUGGAUCGUCGGGUGACCAAGUUUGUGAGGGUUUGGAAGUCUGCCGUGAAGACUUACCACGAGUGUUGGGCGAGGACUGUGUGUCCUUAGCUCAAGGAGAAUACAGUAGGGAUUGUGUGUCCCGGGAAUGGGUGUCCUUUGGUUUCAAUACCAAGCCGCUCCAAACCAGAUGUACAACUGUCACAGCAGUUGGAACUGGGUCAUCAACGACUGUCUUCUUUGAGAAUCGGGUUCUAAUUCCUCAACUCUUUACUUUCUCUGUAUUAUGUGUUGAUGACUUUCACUAUGAACGGGUUCUAAUUCCUCAACUCCUUACUUUCUCUGUAUUAUGUGUUGAUGACUUUCACUGUGACUAUUUGAAGAAUUUGCUGAAGACUUUCUCUGAAUUUCCUCAACCCCAAAUUCUUCACAAUAGUUAAUCAUCGUCUGUAUUCUACGUGCCUGCUUACUGUGCAAUCUGUUUUCACAUUCUUCACUCUGAAAUAUUGCUGGUGUGAACGUUUGCACGUCUGAUCCUUUACUGUUUCCGCUGUAAGUUAGUCAUCAGUGAGGAAUUUCCUCAAAAGGAAUUUCCUCAGCGAUGAAAUUCUAAAAACCUCCUAUUCACCCCCCCCCUCUAGUCGAUAUAACGCACUUUCACUAAAGUAACUACUGAAUUGGUAAAUUAGAAAUGGCAGGAUUGUGGCACAUUAAUCAAAUUGUCCCGAUGGUCUUGUUCUGUGUGAUUUGUGUUUAACCACCUGGAGUUUUAGUUAUGUCGACUGCAGGCAUGUUUAAGGUGACUGCAGCAUGUCCUACCUACGAAGGAAAGAACUUUCCCUUCUGGAAGAACAAAAUGCAAAUGCAUCUACAAGCUAUUGAUAAUGAGCUCUGGUAUAUUGUGAAAAUGGAGUCCCCAUCAUCUCUGCCAGUGUCGCUGCAGCUGAUGUGAAGAAAUUCAAGCAACUCGAUUCUCAAGCGAAGAACACCAUCUGUGGCCAUCUGAGCCCUGGCCAGUUUGGAAGAGUAAGUGCUUUGGGCUCUGCAACACUGAUCUGGGAGAGACUGUGCAAGGUAAAUGAAGGAGUAUCAACCCAGCGUGACUCUCGUGUUGAUAUUCUUCGCAAUCUCUUCAAUCGCUUCAAGAGACAUGACAAUGAAUGCUGCCAAGACACCUUUGAUUGCCUCACUGACAUAUCAAAUGAACUGCAAGCACUGGGAGCUCGAGACAUCACUGAUCAUGAAGUUGUGAAGAAACUGCUGAGAUCUUUGGAUUCUUCAUUUGACACUCUAGUUCUGAUGAUUCAAGAAAGACCAGACUACAAGAUGCUGGAUCCAGCUGAUAUCCUUGAAAGGCUAAAUACUCAUGAAUUCCAGCUAGAAGAAAAGAGAGAUCUAUAUGGAGAAUGUUAUUCCAGACCACGUGCACUGAAGGCUAGAGCAAUUUUCUCAUCUGAAGAAGAAGACACAGAUGACAGCAUUUGUGACCCUGAAGAAUUUGGACAGGAGCUUGCAAUGCUUGUGAGGAAAUUCCAGAGAUUUACACGACGUGGCCAGUUCGGUAAAUCAUCAAGAAGAGACAUCAGGAACUCAAAAUCUGCAUCUGAGGACUACAAGAAACUAACCUGUCACAAGUGCAAGAAAUCAGGUCACUACAAUGCUGAUUGUCCCCGUUGGGGAAAGGAAUCAAAGAAGAAGAAAUACAAGGAUGACAGUUCUGAUGACUCGAAGAACAAGAAGAAAUCUUCAAAAUCCUCAUCUUCGAAGCCCUCAUCACACAAGAAGACUAGUUUCAGAAAGGCUCGGGCACUUAUUGGUAAGGAAAUGUACUCCGAGGCAGAAUCAGAGGAAUGUGAUGAAGAAGAGGGUUCUCGAGAAGACUCGGAAUCUAGACAGGCUAGUCUUGCACUAGCAACCACUUUCGUCAGCAAGUCAAUCUUCAAUCUUGAAGAAAAUGAUUGCACCAUCCAUACUGAUAACUAUGCUGAUGACUUCGCUCCAACCUAUUGCUUCAUGGCAAAAGGUUCAAAGGUAUCAAAUAAUGCCUCCUCCUCUGAUUCAAGUGACUGUGAACCUAAUGAUUAUAAGAAACCCAGUUAUAGUAAACUUGCUAUCAUUGCCACUAAACAACAAACUGCUCUGGAAAAGCUUCAGAAACUGCUAGACCAAAGUGAUGAUCUGUUGAAUGAUGAAAUGAACCUUAACCAAAUCCUCACUGAUGACAUGAAAAGUCUUCAGUCUAGAUUUGAUAAUCUUCAGGAUCGUUAUGAUACACUCCUCACUGAUCAUGAGAAGCUUUCCUAUGAAUUUCUUCAAAGGAAGCUUGAUCUUGAGAAGCUGAGGAUGUCUCAUGAUGAUCUUCGUAUGGAAAAUGAUUCAUUACUAGUUCAAUAGAUCAGCGCUAGUCAAUUUGAAUUUAUUCCUCCAUGUCUUAAAUGCAUUGAACGCGAAACUGCUAAUUCCUCACCAGAAUCAUCAAAUGCUACCAUUGCUACAAAUUCUUCAACUGCACCUGUUGUGUCUAUUUCCUCACUUGAGGAAAACACAAAUGUUACUGGUGAAAAUGCAGGGUUGAAGGAAUUGUACAUGACAGGCAUUUACAAAAGCCUCAAAGGACAUCAAACCCUUUGUGAUGUGCUCAAAAAGAAGAUCUUGAACAGGAACCCGAGGAAAGAAGGAAUUGCCUUUGAGAGGAAAUGAAAUGCUGAUGGAUCUUAUUGGAAACCCGAGCAGUAUCCCAAAACCUCAUGGGUUGCUGCUACUGGGCCUCCUUUUGAUCCAUCUAAUCUAACUGGCUUCUCAUGUGAAUUAUCCUAUUCCUCGGAUGAGUCAUUUGAUUCCAACUAUAAACUGUUCAAAAAUCAAUCUGGUGAAGUAUUUGCUCGAUAUGUUGGAACUAACUGCAGGAAUGGCCCUCCCUUGAGGAAAAUCUGGGUUCCCAAAAGCUAUCUUGAAAAUCUUCACGUGAAUGUCCUCAUGACACCACCACUGAAGAAUUUGAACCCCAGAUCAAAUUCCUCAGGAGGACCAAAGUCUUCAAGAGGAUCAAAGUCCUCAACUGGUCAAAACUAUGCUCGUACCCGUGCUUAUGCGUCUAACAUGCAGGGAAACUACAAGGAAUAUGAAUAUGAGCGUUACUCCUCAAAUCGUUAUGUUCAUAAAUCCUCAAACCAGUUCUUUGCAUAUUCAUAUCAGUACUUUAAUCCCCAUACUGUUAAGAGAAGUGCAUUAGCUUCAAUGCCACCUUUCUCAUAUGGUGCUCGCAGGAUGAUGAACGCUUUGGCACCCCUUCAGAUGUGGGUGGUGAAGAAAUCGAACUAAUCAUUUCUGCAGGACAGGUCUCUAGAUGAAAAUCAUCAUCUGAAGAAUUUGCUGGAGACCUGAGGAAAUGCUUGAUAGGACACAAGCUAAUGAUUGAUGAAAUAGAAAUAUUUCACACGUCCUUACAUUUCUGUUAUGAUGAAAUUACUGAACUGAUGAAAUUAGUAUCAUAUUCUUCAAAUCUGAAGCAUAUGAGAUGGUAAGCUGUACUAAUUCAUCUGCAUGAUGACAAACCCAAAAAUACUGAGUGGGUUCUCGAUAGUGGCUGCACACAUCACAUGACUAGUGAUAAAAGCUUACUGAUGAAUAUGCCACUAACUCCAUCACCUCUAAAGCAAAUCACAUAUGCUGACAAAGGUAAAAGGAAGGUAUUGGGACUUGGCAAAGUAGCUAUUUCCAAGGAUAGGCAUAUGGACAAAGUGAUGCUUGUUGAAUCCCUUGGUUUUAACCUUAUGUCAGUCUCGAUGCUUUGUGAUCUUGAUAUGAUUGUUAUAUUUGGUAGAUAUAGAUGUGUAGUCAUCAUGGAAUCUGACAGAUCCAAAGUCUUCGAAGGUGUAAGAAGAGGGGAUUUGUACAUUGUUGAUUUCUCUACAGGUCCUCAACCAGCCACUUGCUUACUAGCAAAAACCUCAGAAGGAUGGCUGUGGCACCGAAGACUAGGUCAUGCAGGCAUGAGAAAUUUGCACACGCUUGCGAAGAAGAAGCAUGUCAUCGGCAUCGAAUUAGUUAAAUUCCUCAAGGAUCAUCUCUGCGGUGCUUGUGAAUCUGGGAAAAUGACUAGAUCCAAGCAUCCCUCUAAAACCAUCAUGACCACUACAAGUCCAUUCGAAUUGCUUCAUAUGGAUUUAUUUGGACCUACUCACUAUGCCACACUAACCAAUGCAGCAUCUUUAUAUGGCUUUGUCAUAGUUGAUGAUUAUUCCAGAUAUACUUGGGUGCAUAUCAUAGUGUAUAAAACUGAAGUGCAGGAAAUCUUCAAACGAUUUUCUUCAAGGGCCUCGACGAACUUUGGCAUCAAGAUCAAACACAUCAGGAGUGAUAAUGGAACCGAGUUCAAAAACACUGGUCUUCAUGAUUAUCUUGAUGAACUUGGUAUUACUCACGAAUUGUCUGCUCCUUAUACUCCUCAGUAGAAUGGUGUCGUCGAAAGGAAGAACAGGACUCUGGUUGAAAUGGCUAGAACUAUGCUUGAAGAAUAUCAGACUCCUCAUUGCUUUUGGCCCGAAGCAAUCAACACUGCAUGUCAUAUCAUCAACAGGGUAUAUCUUCACAAAUUCCUCAAGAAAACCUCAUAUGAACUCCUCACUGACAAGAAACCCAAUGUAAGUUAUUUCAAAGUCUUCGGAGCAAAAUACUGGAUUAGAGAUCCUCACCAUAGCUCAAAAUUUGCACCUAAGGCACAUGAAGGUUUUAUGCUCGGUUAUGGAAAGGACUCGCACACUUACAGAGUCUUCAACAACUAUCACAACAAAGUUGUUGAGACUGUAGAUGUGCGGUUCGAUGAAACUAAUGGCUCGCAAAGAGAGCAAUUGCCUUCUUAUCUAGAUAAGGUGUCUCCUGAGGAAGCAAUAAAGCUUAAGCCUGCUGAAGACAUUGUCCCCACUGAGGAAAUUGGUGAAGAAACGAUCCCCAUCGCUGAUAAAAACCAAGAAUAUGCACCUGAGGAAAUUGCAACAGCACCACUUCCUCAACCCAGACAAAAUCCUCAACCAGCUCAUCCGAGGAUUGCAAACGAAGUAGAACUUGACAAAAUCCUCAACGACGUCAACGCGCCAGGUCCUCUCACUCGCUCAAAAGCUUCACACUUAGUUAACUUUUGUGGGCAUUUUUCCUUUGAAUCCAUCACAGAACCCUCAAAAGUUGUUGAGCCUUUUCUCGAACCGGAGUGAAUCCAAGCUAUGCAAGACGAACUUCUUCAAUUCAAGCUCGGUGACGUAUGGGAGCUCGUCAAACGACCAGAUCCUCGCAGGAACAACAUCAUCGGCACCAAGUGCAUUUUCCGAAACAAGCAAGAUGAGGACGGUCAAGUGGUGAGGAACAAGGCACGACUUGUAGCCCAAGGCUACACCCAGGUUGAAGGAAUAGAUUUCGAUGAAACUUUUGCACAUGUUGCUAGACUUGAAGCUAUUCGAAUACUACUUGUUUAUGCUAAUCAUCAUAACAUCACCUUAUAUCAAAUGGAUGUGAAAAGUGCAUUCCUCAGUGGUAAGCUUGAGGAAGAAGUAUAUGUUGCUCAGCCCCCAGGUUUUGAGGAUCCAAAGAAUCCAGACAAAGUCUUCAGACUCAAAAAGGCUCUGUAUGGCCUCAAGCAAGCCCCUCGGGCAUGGUAUGAUACAUUGAAGGAAUUCCUCAUGAAGAAAGGCUUCAAACCUGGUUCACUCGAUCCAACUCAUUUCACAAAAUCCUAUGAUAAUGAGCAGUUUGUAUGUCAAAUAUAUGUUGAUGAUAUCAUAUUUGGUUGUACUGACAAAAGAUACAGUGAUGAAUUUGCCUACAUGAUGAGUGAAGAAUAUCAGAUGUCCAUGAUGGGGGAGCUGAAAUUCUUCUAAGGACUUCAAAUUCGUCAACAAAGCAAUGGAAUCUUCAUAUCACAGGAGAAAUACCUCAAGGAUGUUUUGAGGAAAUUUGACAUGCACGAAUGCAAAGGUGCCAAGACACCAAUGCCUACCAACGGCCACCUCGGCACUGAUGAAAUUGGUAAAGAUUUCGAUCAGCAGGUAUACCGUUCUAUGAUUGGCUCCUUAUUGUAUCUAUGUGCAUCUAGGCCAUAUAUAAUGCUUAGUGUUUGCAUGUGUGCCCGUUUUCAAGCAAAAGCGAAGGAAUCUAACCAUAAGGCUGUGAAACAUAUUCUUCGAUACUUAGCUCACACACCAACACUAGGAUUAUGGUAUCCCAAGGGCUCCAAUCUUCAUCUGGUAGGGUAUUCUGAUUCAGACUAUGCUGGUGACCGUGUGGAUCGCAAGUCAACUUCUGGCACAUGCCAUUUCCUCGGAAGAUCACUAGUUUGCUGGUCCUCAAAGAAGCAAAACUGCGUAUCACUCUCGACUGCCGAAGCUGAGUACAUUGCUGCUGGUUUUUGCUGUGCUCAAUUGCUGUGGAUGAAGCAAACCCUCAAGGACUACGGCAUCAACAUGAAGAAUGUGCCUCUCUACUAUGACAAUGAGAGUGCUAUCAAGAUUGCAUACAACCCAGUACAGCACUCGAAGACCAAGCACAUCCAGAUUCCUCAUCAUUUUCUUCGGGAGCAAGUCCUCAAGGGCAAUAUCCUCAUCGACCAUGUGAAGACUGAUCAUCAACUGGCAGAUAUCUUCACUAAGCCCUUGGAUGAGAAAAGGUUUUGCAAGUUGCGGUGUGAGCUAAAUAUCUUAGAGUCUUCAAAUGUUUAUAAAAACAUGCACACAUCCUAACACUUAUGCAAAGUUGAUGACUUAGAUGUGCAACACAUGAUGAAACGAUUUUCUUCAACUGAUGAAGAAAGUCACUCUGAAUGUGAAGAAAUUAAUGAAGAAAUUGAUUCUCAGGGCCCUACGACAAUUCUACGCGAUGUCUGUAAUCAACAUUCUUAUAUGGUGGGUAACGCUACCGCCCAAUGUGAAAUUCCUCAAGUUGAUUUUCUUCAGAUGAUCAAUUUCCUCACAAUGCAUUUUUCUUCAAAACAACUAUUCUUCAUUGUCAUGAUUUAUUACAAAAUCUUCAAAAACACUUGAUGACUUUCAGUUUCCUAGAUAGACUGUGAUUUCUUGUCCUCAACAGCAUUCACUUAUUGCUAUUUCUUCAAGUUGAUGUUUCUGCUAAGUGAAUGUGAUCGGACCCUACUUUCCCUCUAUGCUAUACUUAUCCAGUCUAUUCAAUUCUUCAUAUGAGUUCUAAUUGCUACUUUGUUCAAAAUCCUCACUGCAUCCUUCUCAGCUGAUGAUUUUGUAACGAAAAUCCUCAAAUCUUCAAAAACUGUUUUCUUUAAAGGCACAGUAACUAAACCCCCACUUCCCACGAUCGGAUAACCACGAUCUCCACUAUCUCCACCGCAUCGUAUGGGAGCUACACGUGUCCUGCGGAGACGUAGAGGCAGGGGCUAUCUGGUCCGACAUUUUCGCGCCAACAGUAACUUUUGGCUAUAAAUAUGUCCUUAUCCCCCUCGGCAUCCUCUUCUUCGCCUCAUCGCUCUCCUGCCACAGCACACUCCACCGAACCCUAGCGCCACCGCUGGAAGUCUUGUCGCCGGUGAGGAAGAGCUUCACUGCCUCGACUUCUCCGUCGCCAGAAUCACCCGGAGUCGGACCAUCUUUGUCCGUCGCCGCCGUAGACGUCCUUUGUCGCCGAGUUAGGGUGCAUUGGACACUCGAACGAAGAGCCUCUCCAACACUACUUUCUGUGUUCUUCGUACGCACCUUCGAGGGUAAAUAUAUCCCAUUUUUAUAGCACAUUAGAUCUGAAAUUUUACAUCUUCUAUGUGAAAUCUGUUUUUCCUCAAGAUACAAUGCGCACAUGAUUCCUCAAACACUACCUAUCACCACAAUCAUUGAUGAACUAGCUAAGCAUCUAAGAUUUUCACGAUAUUCCUCAAUUGUGCGAAAUUUCGGAUAUGUACAACUCUGGAACCCAAGAACAGUAUGCUUAGGCAAAUUCCUCAACCACUGGUUCUAUUCCUCAAACUGUCAAACUUUUUCAUUUUCUUUAAAUCUGAGAACGCAUAUGACCUCUCCAAAUUCCUCGCAGCUAUACUCUGUUCACACGUACACACAUGUCAGCUGAUGAAUCUUUCGGUUCUCAUCACAUUAACUCAUUUGCAGCAUUUCUGGAAGAAACUCUUCAAGGCUCAUCAGAAUCCUCAAGAGUUCAAAAUCAUCAGCAAAGUCCUCAACUGAAGAAAAUGGAGGAAGAAAGAAAACAGAAGGGAGGAAAGAAACUUGAGAAAAACACAGCUGCUGAUAUCCCUGAGGACAUAUACUUGGACUAUUGUACGCUUGAUGAACAUGAGACAAUGGCCAAGAGAAAAAUACGGCUGCAGAAGAUUGAGCGCCGAUGUGCGAACGAAUGGAAGGAGUACAGGUUUGUGACUCCCAAAUAUGCGAAGAAAUUUGCGUUGAAGCCUCCUGGCAGAAGGGCCCCACUUGAGGAUCAUCAAGUAGCACAUCCCUCAAGCCUCAUGACAAUUGAUGACUAUCCAGAUGAGAAAGAAAAGCAUUUGGCCAAGCUCAAGAAGCAGGCAGAAGAUGCAGUGAGGAAAUUUAAUGAAUCCUCAGUUGCUGCCUCCGGUGCUACAAAUUCCUCAGCGGCAGAAACCUCAGGCUCCGAAAUUCCUGACACGCAGUCUGUGCCAUCAAAGCAAAGGGCUCCAAGGCCUCAAGAGAAGUCUGCUCAGGCUUCUGUCACAAAACCCUCAGCACCAAAACCCUCAUUACCAAAAUCUUCAACACCAAAACCAUCAGCGGCAAAACCAUCAGACCAAUCUCCUUAGCACCAAAAUCCUCAGCUCCACCUCCAAAGCCUCAAGAGAAACCAGUACAGAAGCAUGUCGUGAAACCUAAGACCGCCAGCUCCAGCUCCUCACUCCCAGCUGCAACUAGCUCGGAGACAAAGUCUUCAACACCACUUAUGAAGACUUUGGCAACUGCUGAACGUGCACCUCUGCCCAGCUCCAGCAAAAUCAUCGCAGUCCCGUCUGCAUCAGAGGGAAGUGAUGAAUAUGAUGAUGAAACCCUGCAAGCCAUCAAUAGAAACAAGCAAGAAAGGGUAGCUCAAGCAUCAGGCAGUGUUAUUCCUCUGGCCAUGGACCCCAAGGUCCUCCUUGACUACAUCAAUAUCUGGUAUGAGGAUCCAAACACUCCCAUUGAUGAUUUGAAACUUCCUUCUGGCAUCAGCCACAUGGUGGUCACCUUCAUAAAUGAAGCCAAGUGGAAAGAACAGCAGGCCAGGCAGGCAAAGGUUGCAAAGGCCAAAAAGGAGAAAUUCCUCAGGCAGAAUCUUCUCAAACUGACUCCUGAUGCACUGGUGUCAACCCAGGAAGAGCUGCAAGUAUUGACUGACAAGUACGACAAGCUGUCAGAUCGCAAAAGCAUCAAGAGCAAUUUCAUCAAGCUAGCCACUAGUGUUGUUGAUGACUACAACAAGAGAACCGCACCCCCAGCACCAACUCCUCAACCCUUGGUUAAGGAGCCAGCAGAUGCAUCUCCUGAUGAGGAGGAAACUCCUCAAGCUGAGGAAGAACACCAAGAGCGCCGUGUUGAUGAACCGGCUAUUGAAGAAAUCAUCACGGAAACUGCAACUGAUGAAACUGUUGCCACUGAUGAGACUGCUCAUGACCCAGCUGCUUCAUCAAAGCAGGCUGAUGACUCGGUUCCAGCUGGUUCCUCACUACCAGCUGAAGAUUCUGAAGAAAGAACACCUCCACCAAAAGCUUCAAAGGUGAAGAAGAUAAUUCCGUCUGCAUCAGACGCGAAGAAAACAAGGGCUGCUGAAAAGGAAGCCAAGAAGAGAAAAGCCUCCUCAGCAGUAGAAGAGACUGAGGCGAAGCGCCUCAAAGAAACUGAAGAAACUGCUCCUCUGGACCCAGUGCCUCUCAAUGUCGCCCCUUCCUAUGAGAUGGUCGUCAUUGAUGACCUAGCUACAAGGGCAGAUGAGGAAAUUAGGAUGUCGCCUCUGAGGAACACACUGAUGAGGAAAUUCAGAUUGAUGACAGUCCUCAACCUCUUAUUCCUCAGACAGAGACUGCUCAAGCUGAAAAUUCAGAUGGAUGACAGUCCUCAACCUUUUAUUCCACAAAGCCAGCUGAGGAAAAACAAGCUAAAAAUCCUCAUGUUGAUGAAAUUGUACACUCUGAGAAGACUCCUCAAGAUGAGAAACAGGCUGACCCAACUCCUCGAAAUGAGAAAGAAGCAGAAAUUCCUCAGCCUGAAGCUCAGCCAGAGCAAGCAUCAUCUCCUCAGCAUGAAGUACAAGCUGAUGAAAUUCCUCACCUUAAGGAAAAUGCUGAAGAAAAUGUACCCGCCCAAGACAAUCACUUCAUUGUGCUCAACCCAGAGACUGCUCUUGUUGUCUCCUCCCCCAUUCCUCAGCAAAAUCUUCAGCCAGUUCAGCGCCAGCCAUUCUCCAAGCGUCCAAAGUUUCAGAAAGAAGAUUUCUUUGAAGAACGCAUGUACUUCAUCGGAGAGAACCCUUAUGACAAGACUCAAAUGAGGCAUCUGAAGUUUUGAACAAGGACUCAGAUGAACUACUAUUCCUCUGUGCUCUGUGGACGCAACAGGAUAUUCCAGCACAGGCACAUUCCUCAUGUUGAGCUUGAAGCAAUACCCUGCCUGGAACCAGUCCUCAAUGUACUCCACGAUGUAGGUUUGCUCCCCAUGUGCUCAGACAUAUCAGACUGGAACAGCGAGCUUAUUCUUCAGUUCUAUGCCACUCUUCACAUAUCUGGCAACGCUGACGACAUCAACACUUGGGUGUUUGACUGGAUGUCUCAAAACACUCACUACAAAGCUCCUGCUUCUGAACUCCUCAGAGAACCGCCCGUACCAAUUCCCUCAGAUGGGGCAGUGAAGCUUUAUGGUGAGCGUGAGCUACCAAAUGGAAUGAUAGAAGUCCUCAUGAAGCCUUUGGCUGCAGGCAAACCCCCAAGAACAACCUUCCUCGUCCACGAGCUCAAGUACACACCCCGGUCUGUCUACAGAAUCCUCUGCAGUGUGCUCGCGCCAGUCAAAGUCCAUGACGAUGAAGAAGAUGUUGUAGGCCUCAUGAAGAAUAUCCUCUUCAACAUCAUUCACGGUAUUCCUAUUAAUAUCCAUGAUUUCUUCUUGAGGACUUUGGCCGACAAUGCAAUGUGCCCCUAUGAUCACAAGAUUUAUGCCUAGUGGAUCAUGAGAUUCAUCAGGACAAGGACAUGCAUCAACUUUCACGCUGAUUGUCAAAACCAUGUUGGUUAUAUGCCUCCUAUCCGGGUCAACAAGAAGACUUUUGAACCCAUUGAAGGGAAAGGAAAAUCUGUGAUUGAAGAAGGCAACAUGCCCCUUGAUGGCCAGUUCAGAGAGCCAGAAGCAUAUUCUUCAUGGGACGAUACUGAGACUCAUCUAGCAAGCCCAGUUCCUCCUCGCGUGCUGAACACCAGAGAGCUCCUCCUCAGUCUUCACCAGAAGGUGGAUCGCAACCACAAAUGGGUCAAACGCUAGUUUGGUGCCAUUGUGAAAACACUCACUGAAACACAGAACUCUGUGAAGAUUAACCAUCACUAUCUGCAUGAGGUUUUCGAUCGCACCUGGGCUACACUUGCACAUCUGAAGACUCAGACUGAGCUUGAAGAAAUGGACUUUGAGCGAGACUUUGACUGGUCGUGGCCUCCCAAGAGGAAGUUCAGGCCCAUUCCAGUGCCAGACCGAGAAGACAGCUCCUUUUCUUCAUUCCGCACUGCUGAAUCUGAUGAGGAACAACUCGACACACCAACCGGCCCAAGGAAGAAGACUACUCCCAAGAAGCGUCACGGCUCUUCCUCAACCGCCAAGAAAUGAAGUCUUCGCGGGCGUUAGUCCUCAGUUUGUCCCUUUUUGUCACUUGAUGACAAAGGGGGAGAAACUCGAGAGUUAGUCUUCAAGCGGGAUAUUUUUGGGGCUUAUGAACUAUAUUUAAGUUACAAACUCUUGGCUCUUCUGAAUUUUUUAUGUAAUGAGUUGUAACUUAAGCCCGAUGGUACUCUGACGCUUUUGAAUGUUUUUCUUCGCAUGCUUAUUCCUCAAGUUUUAAUGCACGCAUGCUGGAAUUUGUCAGAUACCAUUUGCCAUCAUGCAUCUUCAUUUUCUUCAUAUGAUAUGUUAUAUGUAUGCAUGAUUUACAAGACUCACGGGGAGAUCUCCAUGAUAUAAAUCAUCAAUGUGCAUCUGCUAUAAGAGCAAAAUCCUUAAGGUAUGCACAUCUUCAGGGGGAGUCUCUCUGAAUCUUCUUUUCAAAUUCCUCAAAUGAGUAUUUACACUUCAUAUUUUUGAUCCCUGUUGAGGACUUAACCUAAUUGUCAUCAACCACCAAAAAGGGGGAGAUUGUAAGUGCAUCUAGUGCCCCGUAGUGAUUUUGGUGGUUUGAGGACUUAUAGGUUAAGUAUCUAAUGUGUUUAUAAGUGUACACAGGAUCUAUAAGUCAUUGAGGAGUUUGAGAUAUUUGAAGAAUAUCGACCCCUAAAAAUAUACAUCUUUAGUUGAAGAAAUUGGUCUGAAGCUGAAGAAAUGAAUCGCGAGGAAUCUGCGAUGAAAUUGAUAUUCCUCAUGAAGAUACUGAUAUUGAGAAGACCGGUGGUUCCUGAAGAAAAUCAUUUUGAAGAAUUUGAAGCAUGAAGAUUUACGAUUUCUGUUUUACUUUCUUCGCAUUUGAUGAGUAGGAACACCGUACUGUUAAAGGGGGUCAAAGUAACGCUAUGGAAUGGAUUUCCUCAUGAUGCUCAACCCAAGCCUAAUCCUACCAAAAGCCUCAAGUGAGGAAUAUGAGUGACAUGAGGACUCUCACAGUUGAGGGUUCCGACCGUUUCGAUAACCGCGCCAAGUCACUGGUCUUAUCCACUCCAACGGUCAUAUUAUUUAAGGGCAUUGGUGUCAAAUCAUGUCGGGAUGCUCCCAGGCUAUAAAUAACCACCCCCCACAACCACUAGCUGGUUGGCUGCUCCGUUAGAAACUGACACUUGUCAUAAGAGCAACCCAAAUUCCUCAGAGUCUUCGAGAGUAAUUCAUCAGUAAGGAAAUACACCACCCACCGAAACCACAAACCAAACCUAGUGAUUGAGCAUCACUGAAGAAGUUGUUCCUGUGUGGGACUGAAGCCUUUUACCUUUGAGGACUGUGCAUCCUCCAGACGGUUAGGCGUCAUGGUCUAGAGCAUUCCAACAGUCAAUUGUGGAUCGUCGGGUGACCAAGUUUGUGAGGGUUUGGAAGUCUGCCGUGAAGACUUACCACGAGUGUUGGGCGAGGACUGUGUGUCCUUAGCUCAAGGAGAAUACAGUAGGGAUUGUGUGUCCCGGGAAUGGGUGUCCUUUGGUUUCAAUACCAAGCCGCUCCAAACCAGAUGUACAACUGUCACAGCAGUUGGAACUGGGUCAUCAACGACUGUCUUCUUUGAGAAACGGGUUCUAAUUCCUCAACUCCUUACUUUCUCUGUAUUAUGUGUUGAUGACUUUCACUGUGACUAUUUGAAGAAUUUGCUGAAGACUUUCUCUGAAUUUCCUCAACCCCAAAUUCUUCACAAUAGUUAAUCAUCGUCUGUAUUCUACGUGCCUGCUUACUGUGCAAUCUGUUUUCACAUUCUUCACUCUGAAAUAUUGCUGGUGUGAACGUUUGCACGUCUGAUCCUUUACUGUUUCCGCUGUAAGUUAGUCAUCAGUGAGGAAUUUCCUCAAAAGGAAUUUCCUCAGCGAUGAAAUUCUAAAAACCUCCUAUUCACCCCCCCCCUCUAGUCGAUAUAACGCACUUUCACUAAAGUAACUACUGAAUUGGUAAAUUAGAAAUGGCAGGAUUGUGGCACAUUAAUCAAAUUGUCCCGAUGGAGCUCAGACUUGUAAGGCAUUAUAGAUGGCAACACUAUCCAUGUGUGACGCCAUGACAUAACUUAAUGUACCUUUCUUAGAAAUUAUAGUUUUUUGCUAUGUCCCACAAGCAUGCACAAAUACAUCUCCUGGAUGAACCAAGUCGCAUGAUACACAAGCAACCAUAUUAUGGACGGAUAAUAUACGCCAUCUAGUUUGAAGAUGCACUUAUUCUUGGAGUAACCUACAACAAAAAACAACCAUUCAUUUCCAUCUUCUGUUAAAUUUGAGAUAGGGGUUUGCUCUGUCAUGGUGCAUGCAUCCUGCAAUAACUUAAAUUGUAUGAACAACUAAUAAGGUCUUUCUCAGGCCUUGUGGAGGGGCAACUUCUGGGGCGUGCAGGGACACACGCCCAUACUGCUCUCAAGAGUACUUCUUGUAGAUGGCCUUGAGCUUGCUCUGCGGGGCAGCGGCGUGAGCCAUGCCUAGCAUCUUGGCAGGCCCCCUGAAACCAACAAACAGAUAGAAUUUCCAUGAAUUCCAACUCAUGCAGCCAAGUUCAUCAAUCAGGCAGGUAGAAAAGAGAGAGACAAGUAAAUGGAUCACUCAUAGGAGUUGUGGUUCAGCAAGUCCGGUGUGAUGCUUAAGGGUUUCUGUCCAGAUAGGGCUUAUUUUCACCGUGCACCGAGCAGCGUACACGGCAGACGCUGCCAGCAGCGAGGGGCCCACGGUGACCAGCUCGUAUUCCAUGAGCGCCAUCUCGGUGAAGAAGAAUAUCAUGUUUGCAAGGUGCAUGCAUUCACAAGAACAGGAGGAAAAGAAGUUUAGCACUACGUAGGACGCAAAUUCCAUGUCAGACAGAGACAAGUUCAGAGAUCAGAAUCAAAAUCCAUGACCAGUUCUUCUCACCUCCUUGUCGCCCCCGGCGGCCUUGGCGAACCGCACCAGGAAGACGUACGGGGUUGGCACCGUGAGGUUCCACGCCAUGCUGUUCAGGAUAUUCUUCUCCAUGGAGAGGAUCUGCUGCCUCGAGUAGGAGUUAUUGGCGAUGGAUAUGAAAUUGCCUACCUGCAGACAACAGACACUUCAGAUUCAGAGUUCGUUCAUCGAGCAGUACAAGGCCAUCCACGAGACGGAGCGGCGCGUGGGGAGCUGCUCCCUAGGCAAAGAACAUGAGAGGAGGUCGGAUCGGGCGGUGGCGGAUCUGGAGGCCGGCACUCCGCCUAACUAUCCCAAGGGCGGCAACAGGCACAACAAGACCGUCGGCGUCGUCCGGCGACGGCACGGGCACGGCAUCCUCGCGAAAGGACGAUGCCGGAACCUCCGGGUCUGUGGCCGCGGCGGCGGCCGGAGGCGGGAUGGGAGAGGCUAGCCGGCUUGUGUUUGUAGGGAAGGGCGCGGGGUACAGCUUUGACCUGGAGGACCUGCUGCGCGCGUCGGCGGAGGUGCUGGAGAAGGCGAGCGCGGCGAGCGAGCGGGGGCGAGGCGAGCGGCGCGGCGCGAGCUGCGGCGGCUGCGCGAGGCAGGGUGGGCGGGCCGAGCGUCGGCGCGAGCGGCGGCGGCUGCGCGAGGCAGGGUGNNNNNNNNNNNNNNNNNNNNNNNNNNNNNNNNNNNNNNNNNNNNNNNNNNNNNNNNNNNNNNNNNNNNNNNNNNNNNNNNNNNNNNNNNNNNNNNNNNNNNNNNNNNNNNNNNNNNNNNNNNNNNNNNNNNNNNNNNNNNNNNNNAGGGUGGGUGGGGCGAGUUCGAGUGUGGGGCGGUUUCCGAGCAUGGAUGUGGGGGUGGGUUUCUUUAGCGAUGGGAUUAACAUGGUUGGUUUCGUUAACGAAGGGAUUAACGUUUCGUUAAUGCUGAUCAAGACCAUUAUAUUAUGUAUAAUCAACGGCUGAUAUCCUCAGUUGGAUCUGCCCCCUCGAGCUUUUAUUAGUAGAGAUAGUAAUGGUGCACGUGCAACGCACGUCUAAAAUAACAAACGAUAUGUCAAACAUCAGAAAUCCUAACAAAGUAUAUGAUAAAUUUAUUGAAAGUUUCAUAUUUUACAUGUAUUCCGGUGCGGGAGUUGGGCAAGUCCGUGGCCGCCGUUGUUCCUUGCCCGCCGAGAGAGGACCAUGGCCCCGAUCGAGGGCCGCUUCCCGCCGCCACUUCAGAGAAACUGGGAAGAAAAAGGGCCUCUAAAAGUGUGAAGUUCCUGGUUACUUUUUUCUUGAUUUCUGAUGACAUAUUUAAGAAAGUUCUCUCCACAUUGAUGGAUUCCUCAGCAUAAUUCGCAAGAAAAUUCAUUCCUAAUGAUUCUACAAAUUCCUGAAAUUAAUCAUAGAUAUUUUAGUAACAGCAAUAUGAAAUUACGAAUAAGGUAUGAAAAAUAUAUCCCACUGUUUAAGAUUUCUCAUUUCAUUUUCAGCCGAGGUUUUAACCAUUUUCCGGGGAUUAUGCUUGCAGUAACCACAUCUAAAACGAUAAUCUCCUUGAA